UACGUAGGGGGCAAGCGUUGUCCGGAAUUAUUGGGCGUAAAGCGCGCGCAGGCGGCAAUGUAAGUCUGGUGUUUAAACCCAAGGCUCAACCUUGGGUCGCAUUGGAAACUGCAUGGCUUGAGUACAGAAGAGGAGAGUGGAAUUCCACGUGUAGCGGUGAAAUGCGUAGAUAUGUGGAGGAACACCAGUGGCGAAGGCGACUCUCUGGGCUGUAACUGACGCUGAGGCGCGAAAGCGUGGGGAGCAAACAGG
rnacentral:rRNA from 1 species